AACCUCUGUAAUACUCUGAGAAUGCCCGAUCUCAUGUGAUCUCGAGAGCUAAGCUGGGUCUGGACUGCUUAGUGCUGGGAUAGGAGACAGCUGGAAAAAAAAAAAAAAACUGGUGCUG
rnacentral:rRNA from 1 species